rnacentral:rRNA from 1 species
GGGUGAGUAACACGUUGGAACCUGCCCUAAAGUGAGGGAUAAUCCCGCGAAAGCAGGAAUAAUACCGCAUAUGUCCUCUUACGCUUUGUACUUCUUACAAAGCUUCUUAUGAAGCUUAUCAAGAAGUGUAGAGCGUAGGAGGGUAAAGGCUUCGGCCGCUUUGGGAGGGGCCUGCGUAGUAUCAGCUUGUUGGUGAGGUAAUAGCUCACCAAGGCUAUGACGCUUAGCUGGUCUGAGAGGAUGAUCAGUCACAAUGGAACUGAGACACGGUCCAUACUCCUACGGGAGGCAGCAGUAAAGAAUCUUCCGCAAUGGGCGAAAGCCUGACGGAGCAACACUGCGUGGUGGAUGAAGGCCUUCGGGUUGUAAACACCUUUUCUGGGGGAAGAAGUUCUGACGGUACCCCAGGAAUAAGCGACGGCUAAUUAC